UCCAGUGCCAUCCAUCCAUCCAACGCGCCUCUUUCACACACAAGGAAGGCAUCCAACCCUAGCUGCUCCUCUCUACUCCCAUUCUCUCCACCGCCCGCGCCGCCGCUCUCCCACCCACCACAUCCAUGGAUCCACCUCCAACUCGGCGGACCAUACACCAGUCGCCGCCCUCGAUGCUCGUCGACGGCACUCUCCCCGCGGCCGCCGCCAUGGAGGCCAGGGCUUCGACCGGCCCAAGGGAACAAGGGGACGCCGACGCGGCCGGCGCACGCGUCCACCCCCUUCGACUACCUCGCCGUCCGCGGAAACUAGAGCUCCGGCGACCAUCUCCACACAAGCUGAUGCCGGACGACCACGACUCCUUCUGCAUCACCAGCACAUUCUUCUGCUCCGACAAGGCCGUCCUCAUCAAGAUACAUGGGAAUGCUUCUAGCUUUACCAAAACGUCUUGCUGCCACUGUUUGCAACCUUUCCUUGCUGGGAACUGUCUUCUCUCUGCACCACGAUACGAUACAAGUUACCUUGUGUGACACUGCUUGCAUCAAGGACUGCAAAUGCUUCCAGUUUCUCCAAAACAUCAGUGUCGUCGCUGGGAACCUCUGAAGGACCUGCAGUACCAUUGACUCUGAAACAGACACCAUUCAAGCAGCCCUGCAAUGGGUUCGUUCAUGUCACUACUUGGAAUCAUCUAAUUUCCAUCCUUCUUGUCUGUAUCCUUCUCGUGGAGGACGGGUGGUGGCCCAUGGAGACGCCGUUGAGCCCCCGCAAAAGCAACUUAAACAAACAUGUUUGUUGCUGCUGCUGCUGCCAAGCCCCGACAAGGGCAUCCAGGUCUCAGUCAAGAGCAGCGCCAACUCAUUGAGUACCUCGCCCAGUUCUUGCCUCGACUCCGGGUACACUGCGCCGCAACGUUGCCUCCAAAUACCCUCUGGUGAGCUCCAGUCCACUACCCACUCUGCUCGCCUACUCGUGGUUGGUAAGAGUUACUUGCGUUCUCCGUGUCAGCCGGUUGUCGUGUUCAUUCUCUCGUGCAGCGAUGCCAUCUGCAGCUUCCUCUUACUGCUUAUUACCAUUUUUGAGUGUUGUUUUCCCAGCGGGAUGCAGUUGGUCGUGAUCUGCUCCUAUUGCUUGUUAUUCGUUCUGUAACUGCGUACUGUUUCAGGGAGGUACCGUCAGUUGGUGCAACAAGCCUCUGAUGGUCUCCCUUUUAUUGCAUCUUGAGCUUACAGCUCCUUAGAAGUUGUGUUAUAUUUUGUCAAAGCCGAAGGCCACAAGAUGACUCUUAGUCACUUUGAUGUGUUCAUUGCAGUGUUGUGCUGUAUUGCUUGCUUUUCUACUGAUUGCAAAAAAGCACAGACUGUAGGUACUCGUGAUCUGCAGGUCCUUCUUAUUUUGGAAGCGAGAAAGGAUUUUUCAACUGCUACUUGCUGAUUAGGUAGAGGGGGGUGCUGUUACUGUGUUGUGCUCCAGAUCAAUCGAACUUACAUUUUGUAACCAUUUGUCACUUCUCCUGCUUGCCACAUCUUGUGCUCAAGCUCAAACUUGUACUCUUAUUUUUGUGCGAAUCGUUGGGGGGAAGUUGUACUCUUUGUUGCAAAAGUUCGGAAAUGAUAUACAUUGGUUUGGCACCAUGCCUUGUUUGGGAUUUGAAUUUGGCCAAUUCUGUAUUUGUGCCGAUGAGUGAUAUCUUGGAAAACAAUGUGCCUAUGAGUUUAGCACCAUGCCUUGUUUGGCACUUGAAUUUGGCCAUUUCUGAAUUUGUGCCAUCUUGGAGAACAUGGUGAUAUCUAAAACUUUUUGGCUUGCUUUCUCUUGACUUGAUAGGGCCAUGAUUUGGUGGUCGAGCGGAUGUCAUCCACUGGUUCCACUCAGCAGUGCAGGCCAGAUAUAAGUUUGGGGACGAGCAAAACGGUGCGACGGUGGCGCUCGGCAAUGACAGGAGGGAGGCUGUAGUAGUUCGCCGCGGCACAGGAAUGUUGGUGGUAGGCACGAAGGGAGAGCUGGUGGUUGCCUGCCUGAGCUGCAGCUGCCCACCACUUAUCCAGGGACAUGUGCAAGGCUGGCUAGGAUAGCUUCAGCAUUGGAGCCAGGGGUGGCAAGGUGUCUACCUCACAUGACCAAGCCCAUUCCAGAUUGCGAUGCUUGCGGUUGCAGAUACAUUGCAGAACAAGCAAAAAAGUUUAGAAGCCUGUGAGCAUAGGAGGAUGCUGUCUGGUUCAUGACUUAAGGGUGGAAGAACGGGAAAUGGAAGCUGAACUCUGCCAGUUUGCGUUUCGAGUUUAUGUUUGAAGGUUUAGCUUCGUUUGUAUUGGUGGUGGACCUGUUAUUUUGGACUCAUAUCCUGGACUGUUAAUGAUCUAUUGUGAUUUUUGAAA